CAUUUGGGCUGCUAUCCAGCUGCUUUGGACUUGCCAUUUGAAUGCGUGUGUGUGCUGGCGUUUGUGCACACAGCUGUCUGUGGUUUGUUCACACAAGAGAUUCUCACCUCCUCCUCCUCCUCCUCCUCCACAUUUCUGCAAAAGGGAAGAGCUGUGUUAGGAGUACAGAUACACCAGACUAAGCCCAGUGUGACUAAGUUACUCUGGGUUUAGCUUUUUAGACCCAAAUUCUGUGACUCUGUGAAACUGGACCUGCAGAUUGUGGAAGGAGCCAGGGAUACCUAAAUAAAGAUACAACAAUUCAAAUUCAUGCCAUAGAGAUAUGCUUGCAAGGUUUGGAUCAAGCUAACUGCAGGGAAACAUAAUUUCACUGAGUGUGCUGAAGAAAUUCAGAGAGAAGAGAAUUCACAUGAGCUUCACUGGCACGUGAUGACUAGCUCUGGAGAUGACCCCCUCAACUCUCACAAAAAAUAGGGAAGACUGUAGGAGUCCAAGGCUACAAUUUCAGAAUGACCCUGUAAACCAAACCUUCCACUAGCCUCAUGUGUUAUGUACAUGAAGUAGUUAAAACAAUGCAAAUAAUCAAAAAAAAAAAAAAAAUAAAACAGAUUAAUGUUUAAAUUCAAUAUUUUACAGUAUUAAAAAAAAAAAAAAAAAAAAAGAGAGAGAGAGA